GGCGUCGAUGGUCCGGUGCAGGACGCGGUUGGUCGCGUCGUCCGGCGCGGCGUCGGUGACGACGACCUCGCCGGUCUCCUCGUCGACGACGUUGC
rnacentral:tRNA from 16 species